rnacentral:rRNA from 1 species
UAGGGAAUCUUCGGCAAUGGGGGGAACCCUGACCGAGCAACGCCGCGUGAGUGAAGAAGGUUUUCGGAUCGUAAAGCUCUGUUGUUAAGGAAGAACGAGUGUGAGAAUGGAAAGUUCAUACUGUGACGGUACUUAACCAGAAAGGGACGGCUAACUACGUGCCAGCAGCCGCGGUAAUACGUAGGUCCCGAGCGUUAUCCGGAAUUAUUGGGCGUAAAGCGAGCGCAGGCGGUUAGAUAAGUCUGAAGUUAAAGGCAGUGGCUCAACCAUUGUAGGCUUUGGAAACUGUUUAACUUGAGUGCAGAAGGGGAGAGUGGAAUUCCAUGUGUAGCGGUGAAAUGCGUAGAUAUAUGGAGGAACACCGGUGGCGAAAGCGGCUCUCUGGUCUGUAACUGACGCUGAGGCUCGAAAGCGUGGGGAGCGAACAGG